GACGAACGCUAGCGGCGUGCCUAACACAUGCAAGUCGAACGGGGUAGAGAGCUUCGGUUUUCUACUUAGUGGCGAACGGGUGAGUAACGCGUGAGAAACCUGCCUUUCAGUGGGGGACAACAGUUGGAAACGACUGCUAAUACCGCAUAAUGUAUUCGGGGGGCAUCCCCUGAAUACCAAAGCUUUAUGUGCUGAAAGAUGGUCUCGCGUCUGAUUAGCUAGAUGGCGGGGUAACGGCCCACCAUGGCGACGAUCAGUAGCCGGUCCGAGGGGAUGAACGGCCACAUUGGGACUGAGAUACGGCCCAGACUCCUACGGGAGGCAGCAGUGGGGAAUAUUGGGCAAUGGGGGAAACCCUGACCCAGCAACGCCGCGUGAAGGAAGAAGGCCUUCGGGUUGUAAACUUCUUUUAGCAGGGACGAAGAACGUGACGGUACCUGCAGAAAAAGCAACGGCUAACUACGUGCCAGCAGCCGCGGUAAAAC
rnacentral:rRNA from 1 species